CAACUACUCCCUCCGUCCCAAAUAACUUUCCUUGGAUUUGUCUAGAUACGGAUGCAUUUAGACACGUUCUAGAGUUAGAUACAUCCGUAUCUAGAAAAAUUUGAGACAAGAAAUUUGGGACAGAGGUAAUACUAU
rfam:Hordeum vulgare subsp. vulgare, WGS project CAJW01000000 data, contig: morex_contig_95856